rnacentral:rRNA from 1 species
UCUGGUUGAUCCUGCCGGAGGCUACCGCUAUUGGAGUUCGAUUAAGCCAUGCGAGUCGCGAGAAAUUAGAUUCUCGGCGUACCGCUCAGUAACACGUGGGUAACCUGCCCUAUGCUGGAUAAUAACCUCGGGAAACUGAGAAUAAUGAUCCAUAGUUCACUACGCCUGGAACGGUGAGUGGAUGAAAGCUCCGGCGGCAUAGGAUGGGCCUGCGGCGUAUCAGGUUGUAGGGGGUGUAACGUACCCUCUAGCCCUCUACGCGUACGGGUGUUGGGAGACAUAGCCCGGAGAUGGAUUCUGAGACACGAAUCCAGACCCUACGGGGUGCAGCAGGCGCGAAAACUUGGCAAUGCGAGAAAUCGUGACCAGGGAACUCCAAGUGCAUCGGGUAAGACCGGUGCUUUUCUUGACUCUAAAUAGGUCUUGGAAUAAGGGGUGGGUAAGGACGGUGCCAGCCGCCGCGGUAAUACCGGCGCCUCAAGUGGUAGUCGCUUUUAUUGGGCCUAAAACGUCCGUAGCCGGUCUGAUACAUUCGUGGGUAAAUCAACCAGCUUAACUGGUUGAAUUCUGCGAGGACGGUCAGACUUGGGACCGGGAGAGGUGUGGGGUACGCUCAGGGUAGGGGUAAAAUCCUGUCAUCCUGAGCGGACCACCUGUUGCGAAGGCGCCACACUAGAACGGAUCCGACGGUCAGGGACGAAGCCUAGGGGCACAAACCGGAUUAGAUACCCGGGUAGUCCUAGGUGUAAACGCUGUGGACUUGA